CUCCAGGGCAGGCGGAAGCCACUCAGUCACCUGGGAGGUGAAGUCGUGCUGCUGCAGCUGCCGCCCCUCGCGCAGGUCCCAGGACCUGACUGUGUUGUCCAAACCACCCGUCCAGAGCUUGGUGCCAUCAUUAGAAAUGUCAAUACAGCUGGCUCCGUCUGUGUGGCCCUGGAAUUGCCUGAUAAAACAAACCAGAUUGAAUAAUGAUUUCCUGCCAGAGCUCAAGGGACCGGGCCCGGCUCAAUGACACUUCAUGGAUUUCUACAGCGGAGGUUUGAAGAGAGUGAGCUGUCAUGAUGACUUCUGGAGCCCGUCCCUUCUCUGUGCAGCAUGAGAGGGGACUUACCAAACAAGCCACAGACCCCAAACUGCACCAUCCGCAGGGACGGCUUCCCAGCAAAGAUGAAACAAGAGUAAAACAUGUACUCAUUUUACCUUUCAUGUUUCAUUCAUGCUUACUUUAAAAAGACUUUUUGAGAACAGCUCUGGUGUGAGCACUGACUUCUGAAGGGAGCAUUUGGCGGGGGAGCUGAGGAGAGACACAUGGGUACCAGAACUGCAGCUGCUGCUAAGGUGACAGGGCUGAUGCCAGAAGGCCAGGCAGAGCCCUGCGGGCUCCUGGGUGGAACCACCCCUGGGCAGGUCUAUUUCAUUAUUGAGAUACUUUAAAAUCAUUUUGUAGGCAAAAUUCACAGAAUCUCCUCUUCUCAUGUCCCUUUGUUGAUUUUCUGUUAUCUUUUAUCAGUUGGCUCUUGUCUGCACCAAGUUCUAGCCAAAGCCCAAAACAUCUAGUAUCAAGGGCCUUUUGUGCUGCCGUGUAAUCCACAUUAGGCCACCCCUUGGCAAAAGCCAGAAAUAUUUUUAGAACAAGUUUGGAGUCUGUAUGUGGGCUGAAGAAUUGGCACAUUAAGGAGAUAGAAAGUCUCGGGUGACACCAGGCAUAGUAAUAAGACUGUAAGCCCCCCAAAGGCAGCAACACAGUUGUCUUUGUUCCCUCAUCACCUAGCCCCAUGCCUGGCAUUCAAGAGGCUCUUAUUGUGUGGGCUGCAGGCAGCCAGAGAGAAGCAGAGGUGAUAGGCCCAGCUGCUAAAGAAGCGAACCCCUCCUUAGACGACCAUCUUUGCUCACCUCACUAGUGUCUGGUUGUGCAGAUCCCACACAGCGAUGUUGCCGUCGCUGCAGCAUGAGAAGCAGACCUUGGAAUCGG
rnacentral:lncRNA from 1 species